UACGAAGGGGGCUAGCGUUGCUCGGAUUGACUGGGCGUAAAGGGCGCGUAGGCGGUUCGUACAGUCAGACGUGAAAUUCCUGGGCUCAACCUGGGGGCUGCGUUUGAUACGUGCGGACUUGAGUGCGGAAGAGGGGUCGUGGAAUUCCCAGUGUAGAGGUGAAAAUUCGUAGAUAUUGGGAAGAACACCGGUGGCGAAGGCGGCGACCUGGUCCGAUACUGACGCUGAGGCGCGAAAGCGUGGGGAGCAAACAGG
rnacentral:rRNA from 1 species